rnacentral:lncRNA from 13 species
CCUGCUCCACCAAAUCUCCUAGGAAAGAAAGAGUUGUAGUACUGAAACUCCACAGUAAGUCUUUGGGAGCUUAGCUGUGGCUUUACACAGAGAGUUUCAAAGAGUUGUAGCUCAAAAGAAAUGGAGGUCAUAUGACAAUAUUAAUGUCCUGCACAGAUUAGCUUUGACAAUGAUAGCUACAUUCAUCUUUUCUUUUACCUGCACAUCUUCUAGAGAAUUCUUAGCUCAAGACAACUUGGUAUAAGAACCUAUGGAAGCUCAUCAGUGAGAGACAGAAAAUAAGCUGGAUUGGAAUAAAAUCUAGGAAACAGCAAGUCCAGACAGUGGAAGCAUUCCGGUUACAAAUGAAACAUCCACAUGGAACAGGAGUGCAGUCAGCAUCACAGGCUGGACCAACCUGACACCACCUGCAGUCUUCCAACUUGCCCCCCCUCCACCAUGCCCUUUGCUGUCGCCAACAGAAUGGAACAAAGAGGGACUUCAGCGCCAUGUGCCAAGCACUUAAUACGUGAUUCCUCUGCUAACAUUAUAACCACUGAAGAGAUUCCUCUGCUAACAUUAUAACCACUGAAAAUAUGCAAGAGAGCAUCUUGCAUAUUUUGAUAUGCCUGAUACUGGCAAGAAGUGCUCAAUAAACAUUUGUUUAUUCAAAAUAAAGUAAUGAAU